rnacentral:lncRNA from 1 species
CUUGAUAACAGCCCAAGAGAAGAGAAAGAAAAAGGAGUUCUAAGAAUGCUCACAGUAUUUCACAAGGAGUCCUAGAAAAAAGAUUGAGUGUUUUUCAUUGGAAUUUUUCCCCAUUGUUCUCUCUCAUUAAAACUGGCCCUGUUUUGUCUCCCUCUGAUACUGUUUGAAUUGUAGAUUCUGAUGUCCUUUGAACUUUGUUCUUUGAUAAAAGUUGGGCAAAAAACACAUGCCACACACAACUGUGGACCUGAGAUGUGAGACUCGUGAUAGUUCUGGAGAGAGCUUCCUGCCCUAUGCCAAAAAAGGAAGACAACUGUUCAAACUGACCAGGAGGCAAAAUAUUUCCAUGGUGAGUUGUGAUGUCAUCACUUAGGAUUGAAGAACACUAAGCAAUCUAGCGCAGAUUAAAAGAAUUUUCCUGAGUGGCACAAUACACAGCUGGGAUCAAAUGGCAAUAAAUACGGUGGUGCACUAAGUGAAACA